rnacentral:rRNA from 1 species
ACGCUCGACACCUACUGGAGGCAGCAGUAGGGAAUCUUCCACAAUGGACGCAAGUCUGAUGGAGCAACGCCGCGUGAGUGAAGAAGGUUUUCGGAUCGUAAAGCUCUGUUGUUGGUGAAGAAGGAUAGAGGUAGUAACUGGCCUUUAUUGACGGUAAUCAACCAGAAAGUCAACGGCUAACUACGUGCCUGCAGCCGCGGUAAUCUGAGCGGGCUGGCAAGGC